rnacentral:rRNA from 1 species
AGACUUUGAUUCUGGCUCAGAUUGAACGCUAGCGGGAUGCUUUACACAUGCAAGUCGAACGGCAGCAUGAGAGAGCUUGCUCUCUUGAUGGCGAGUGGCGGACGGGUGAGUAAUGUAUCGGAACGUGCCCGGUAGUGGGGGAUAACUACGCGAAAGCGUAGCUAAUACCGCAUAUUCUCUACGGAGGAAAGAGGGGGAUCGUAAGACCUCUUGCUACCGGAGCGGCCGAUAUCAGAUUAGCUAGUUGGUGGGGUAACGGCCUACCAAGGCGGUGAUCUGUAGCUGGUUUGAGAGGACGACCAGCCACACUGGGACUGAGACACGGCCCAGACUCCUACGGGAGGCAGCAGUGGGGAAUUUUCGACAAUGGGGGGAACCCUGAUCGAGCCAUCUCGCGUGUGGGACGAAGGCCUUCGGGUUGUAAACCACUUUUCUCAACGAAGAAAAGUCUUAGGCUAAUACCUUAAGAUGCUGACGGUAGUUGAGGAAUAAGCACCGGCUAACUACGUGCCAGCAGCCGCGGUAAUAC